CGGUCGGUAGCUCAAGGGCAGAGCACCGCCGCAGGGCGGGGGUUGCGGGUUCGAAUCCCGUCCGGCCAUGCA
rnacentral:tRNA from 1 species